UGGGGAAUAUUGCACAAUGGGCGGAAGCCUGAUGCAGCGACGCCGCGUGAGGGAUGACGGCCUUCGGGUUGUAAACCUCUUUCAGCAGGGACGAAGCGUAAGUGACGGUACCUGCAGAAGAAGCACCGGCCAACUACGUGCCAGCAGCCGCGGUAAGACGUAGGGUGCGAGCGUUGUCCGGAUUUAUUGGGCGUAAAGAGCUGCGUAAGGCGGCUUGUCGCGUCGACUGUGAAAACCCGCAGCUCAACUGCGGGCCUGCAGUCGAUACGGGCAGGCUAGAGUUCGGUAGGGGAGACUGGAAUUCCUGGUGUAGCGGUGAAAUGCGCAGAUAUCAGGAGGAACACCGAUUGGCGAAGGCAGGUCUCUGGGCCGAUACUGACGCUGAGGAGCGAAAGCGUGGGGAGCGAAACA
rnacentral:rRNA from 1 species